GGUCGGGACAGGGGGCUUGGCAUCGCCUGUAACCGAAGACUCGACGGCGGGGACGUUAGCAC
rnacentral:SRP_RNA from 16 species